CAGCAGCCGCGGGAAAACGGAGGAUCCAAGCGUUAUCCGGAAUCAUUGGGUUUAAAGGGUCCGUAGGCGGUCUUGUAAGUCAGUGGUGAAAGCCCAUCGCUCAACGGUGGAACGGCCAUUGAUACUGCAGGACUUGAAUUAUUGGGAAGUAACUAGAAUAUGUAGUGUAGCGGUGAAAUGCUUAGAGAUUACAUGGAAUACCAAUUGCGAAGGCAGGUUACUACCAAUUGAUUGACGCUGAUGGACGAAAGCGUGGGUAGCGAACAGGAUUAGAUACCCCCGUAGUCCCUGUCUUUUAUAC
rnacentral:rRNA from 1 species